CGAUGCACCCUAAUAACACACAUCACAAAAAAAAGAUGAAUCAUUCUUUGACAUGAAAAAUAUAGCCCGAACUCUUUCAAAUCUAUGCGAGCGAUUGAAAAUAGUUAGGAGUGCUUUGAGAUAUGUGCAAAUGUGAUCCAAUAGUUGACUUUUGCAAAAGAUCAUCAAUUAUUCUUUCACAUGGAAGAUGCAACCUUCAGCCUUUGUAUUAAUGCCUUAAAAUGGGUAACCCAUGCAGCUCUCAUAAAAAAUAUGCAUACAAAUAGUCCUUGCGACGUGGUAAGGGG
rnacentral:lncRNA from 1 species